AUUGAACGCUGGCGGCAGGCCUAACACAUGCAAGUCGAACGAGUGGCGGACGGGUGAGUAGUGUCUGGAACUCUGCGUGAUGGAGGGGUAUAACUACUGGAACCGGUCGCUAAUACCGCAUCCUAUCGGAUGUGCCCAUAUGGGAUUAGCUAGUCGGUGGGGUAAAGGCUCACCUAGGCGACGAUCCAUAGCUGGUCUGAGAGGAUGACCAGCAACACUGGAACUGAGACACGGUCCAGACUCCUACGGGAGGCAGCAGUGGGGAAUAUUGCACAAUGGGCGCAAGCCUGAUGCAGCCAUGCCGCGUGUAUGAAGAAGGCCGUCGGGUUGUAAAGUACUUUCAGCGGGGAGGCGUUACCCGCAGAAGAAGCACCGGCUAACUCCGUGCCAGCAGCCGCGGUAAUAC
rnacentral:rRNA from 1 species